rnacentral:lncRNA from 1 species
AUGUUCCAUAUUGCAUUUGAGAGGGUUCCAGAGGCCACUCCUUUCAAAACCCAAAUCAAAACAAACAAAAAUACCACCCCAGAAACAAAAACACAAAUACCCUUUUCUGAAGAGACGAUAAGCCUUUCCAAUUUUAACAGAUCCUUUGUUCAGCACUGGAGAAACUGGGGCGGGCACAGCUGCCCUAGCAGCUACCGUACAAUAUGGCGUCGCCCAUUUGUACACACCGGCUGGGAUUACAUCCUCCUAGCCCGUCGCAGGACCGGAAGUGGCUUCGGCCCUAGUGGAUCCGGGUGGGUGCGCGCAGGUGGCGGUGGAGGGUUCCAGCUCUUCAGCGUGAGGUGCCGCAGGUGUUCGGUUUGGGUCCCGGUCGCAGAUUUAAUUUAUCCAGCUUGGGACUCAGAGGACUGUACUAAAUCUGAUGACCUCCAUCUCAGCUCUUCAUUACAUGGAUGUCGAGAUUCUCAAUCUGUCCCCCAUGUCUCUGCUAUGUUUUCUACAUCUUUCUCUCUGUGCUACAUUCUGGGUGAGUUCCUCAGAUUUAUCUUCAAUUCACUAACUCUCUCUGUCUGAUCUACUAUUUGACCUGUCUAUUGAGUAUUGAACUUUUAAACAAUUUUAGCAAGUAUUUUUUUGUACGUAGAAUUUCUACUUUAUGUUGUCUCCUGUUCAUGUUUUAGAUUUUAUUUUCCUUAAUUUCACUGAGUGUUAUUUAAGUUCCUUUCAGAUUUCAGAUAUGGAUGUUUUUGUUUGAUUCUUAUGUGAAAUAUUUUUUAUUGGCUGUAGGGUAUUUUAAAAUUUUUGUUUUGUUUUGAUUCAUUUGUGAGUACUCUUCUAGGGACUGGUGUUGUUGGAAGUACUGCAUGUUUCCUGGGUGGUAGAAACACACACACACACACACACACACACAUUCCAACUGAAUUCACAAAUUCUAACCAUUGUCGCUUUAGUUUCUUUGGUUUUCAAUUUUUUUAACGUUUGUUUAUUUUUGAGAGACAGAGAGAGAGACACGGGGCGAGUGGAAGAGGGGCCGAGAGGGAGACACGGAAUCCGAAGCAGGCUCCAGGCCCUGAGCUGUCAGCACAGAGCCUGACAUGGGGCUUGAACUCACGAACCGUGAGAUCAUGACCUCAGCCAAAGUUGGACACUUAACCGGCUGAGCCACCUAGGCGCCCCUUAGUUUUAGUUUCUUUAAAGCUAGUUUCUUUAAAACUUAGAGUUUCCUUUUGUGAGGAUAAUGUGAAUUUGGGCCCUCUACUGCCUCACAGUGCAGGCCUGAGGAGAAUCUGCCUUCUCAUGAGGAGUUCUGUUCAUGCUCUCAGCCUUGGGCGGGUGCUUGCCUGGACCGUGGUAGUUGAACCCUUCCAGUUUCCUGUUCAUGGACAAGGCAGCACUUCCUGGGUCCCAGCUGUGCCCUGGGCCUGUGGCCUAGACUUCUGGCCAUGGACUGGCAAUAAAGCCCAGCACUGAGGCUGCUAGGAGCUCUGG